rnacentral:rRNA from 1 species
AGAGUUUGAUCAUGGCUCAGGACGAACGCUGGCGGCGUGCUUAACACAUGCAAGUCGAACGAUGAAGCCUUUCGGGGUGGAUUAGUGGCGAACGGGUGAGUAACACGUGGGCAACCUGCCCUCCACUCUGGGAUAACUCCGGGAAACCGGGGCUAAUACCGGAUAUGACCUUGGGCCGCAUGGUCUGGGGUGGAAAGGCGCUGUUGAAAUAUACGGCUGUCGGUGGAGGAUGGGCCCGCGGCCUAUCAGCUUGUUGGUGGGGUGAUGGCCUACCAAGGCGGUGACGGGUAGCCGGCCUGAGAGGGCGACCGGCCACACUGGGACUGAGACACGGCCCAGACUCCUGCGGGAGGCAGCAGUGGGGAAUAUUGCGCAAUGGGCGGAAGCCUGACGCAGCGACGCCGCGUGAGGGAUGACGGCCUUCGGGUUGUAAACCUCUUUCAGCAGGGACCAAGGGUGACUGAGUGUACCUGCAGAAGAAGCACCGGCUAACUACGUGCCAGCAGCCGCGGUAAUACGUAGGGUGCGAGCGUUGUCCGGAUUUAUUGGGCGUAAAGGGCUCGUAGGCGGCCUGUCGCGUCGGGAGUGAAAGCCCACUGCUUAACGGUGGGUCUGCUUCCGGUACGGGCGGGCUGGAGUAUGGCAGGGGAGACUGGAAUUCCUGGUGUAGCGGUGGAAUGCGCAGAUAUCAGGAGGAACAACCGGGUGGGCGAAGGCGGGUCUCUGGGCCAUUACUGACGCUGAGGAGCGAAAGCGUUGGGAGCGAACAGGAAUUAGAUUACCCUGUAGUCCACGCCCUAAACGUUGGGCGCUAGGUGUG